rnacentral:misc_RNA from 1 species
GAAAUGCGAUAAGUAAUGUGAAUUGCAGAAUCCAGUGAAUCAUCGAAUCUUUGAACGCACCUUGCGCUCCUUGGUAUUCCUUGGAGCAUGCCUGUUUGAGUAUCAUGAAAUCUUCAAAGUAAAUCUUUUGUUAACUCUAUUGGUUUCUACUUUGGUAUUGGAGGUCUUUGCAGCUUCACACCUGCUCCUCUUUGUUCAUUAGCUGGAUCUCAGUGUUAUGCUUGGUUCCACUCGGCGUGAUAAGUUAUCUAUCGCUGAGGACACUGUAAAAGGUGGCCAAGGUAAAUGCAGAUGAACCGCUUCUAAUAGUCCAUUGACUUGGACAAUACUUUUAUGAUCUGAUCUCAAAUCAGGUAGGACUACCCGCUGAACUUAAGC